UAAUUAUAUUCGUAUAGUGGCAGAAAUAAUAUUCAAAUUGAAUAAUACGUUUCUUAAGAAAUCUUUCAAAGCUUUAAAAUUAUGAAGUCGUUAUAUUCUUCUUUUACUCUUAACGUAAUUAAUUCUCUAUUUAAUAAAGUCCCGGACACGCUUAACGAGGUCGGAGAGAUAUAACGCACCGGUACAAAUAUCCUUUCAAUGAUUUUAUUGAUAAGAAAGUGAGAAGAGAAUCUUUUUAUAAUGCAGAGGGUUUUACUCAUCAUCUAGCAAUCAAAAAUUAUACAUUAUAUCACGUAAAACCCGUAUAUAAUAUAUAAAAUUCGUGAAAGUUCUUUUAACAUAGCGUAAGAUCAGAGAGAACAAGAGUGAAUACAAAAGAUUGUCAUAUUUAUUCAAUAGGAAUUAAUAGAAGACAGAAAUGACAAAGUUAUUUACAUAUUUGUUAUUUAUUAUCAUUCAUAUUUGAUUUGGAGUUUAGAAUGUUAAGGUAAAGAAAGAGCUGUGAUAUUUAUUCUUCUGGAUAUAAAGGCAGAUUGAUUCAAGAACUGUUAAAGUUA